GUUUGGGAAUAUUUUACUUGGUUGUACUGUAAUAUAGACUAAAUAAAGUUGAUGUUUCUCAGUGGUUGAUUUAUUGUGUGGUAAUUACUAUCAGAGACAUUGUACUGCAAGACGUCCAGUUAUUCUUUUGCAAUAGACCUUCUGCAUAAUGAUGUCACAAGGCUUGAUGCCUGUUGAGAAAUGCUGGUCUUAGUACUCAUCGCCCAGAAAAAUUAAACAAUUUAUCCACUAUCGACAUUUUCCUGGGCAAUGACUACUAAGACCAGCAUUCCUUGCAGACAUUUUGUGACAUCAUUAUACAUAAUGUCUGUUAGACUGUUCUUCUAUAAUUCCCAAUUUCUUCUGUAGUUGUUAG
rnacentral:lncRNA from 1 species